rnacentral:rRNA from 1 species
CCUACGGGGGGCAGCAGUGGGGAAUAUUGGACAAUGGGGGGAACCCUGAUCCAGCCAUGCCGCGUGUGUGAAGAAGGCCCUCGGGUUGUAAAGCACUUUCAGUGAGGAAGAACGCCUUGUGGUUAAUACCCAUCAGGAAAGACAUCACUCACAGAAGAAGCACCGGCUAACUCCGUGCCAGCAGCCGCGGUAAUACGGAGGGUGCGAGCGUUAAUCGGAAUUACUGGGCGUAAAGCGCGCGUAGGUGGCUUGAUAAGCCGGUUGUGAAAGCCCCGGGCUCAACCUGGGAACGGCAUCCGGAACUGUCAAGCUAGAGUGCAGGAGAGGAAGGUAGAAUUCCCGGUGUAGCGGUGAAAUGCGUAGAGAUCGGGAGGAAUACCAGUGGCGAAGGCGGCCUUCUGGACUGACACUGACACUGAGGUGCGAAAGCGUGGGUAGCAAACAGGAUUAGAUACCCCAGUAGUC